AGGGAUCAUUGCUGGAACGCGCCCCAGGCGCACCCAGAAACCCUUUGUGAACUUAUACCUUACUGUUGCCUCGGCGCAUGCUGGCCCCCUCGGGGGCCCCUCGGAGACGAGGAGCAGGCACGCCGGCGGCCAAGUUAACUCUUGUUUUUACACUGAAACUCUGAGAAAAAAACACAAAUGAAUCAAAACUUUCAACAACGGAUCUCUUGGUUCUGGCAUCGAUGAAGAACGCAGCGAAAUGCGAUAAGUAAUGUGAAUUGCAGAAUUCAGUGAAUCAUCGAAUCUUUGAACGCACAUUGCGCCCUCUGGUAUUCCGGAGGGCAUGCCUGUUCGAGCGUCAUUUCAACCCUCAAGCAUUGCUUGGUGUUGGGGCACUGCCUGUAAAAGGGCAGGCCCUGAAAUCUAGUGGCGAGCUCGCCAGGACCCCGAGCGCAGUAGUUAAACCCUCGCUUUGGAAGGCCCUGGCGGUGCCCUGCCGUUAAACCCCCAACUUCUGAAAAUUUGACCUCGGAUCAGGUAGGAAUACCCGC
rnacentral:rRNA from 1 species